rnacentral:rRNA from 1 species
GAUGAACGCUGGCGGCGUGCCUAAUACAUGCAAGUCGAGCGAACAGACGCGGAGCUUGCUCCUCUGACGUUAGCGGCGGACGGGUGAGUAACACGUGGAUAACCUACCUAUAAGACUGGGAUAACUUCGGGAAACCGGAGCUAAUACCGGAUAAUAUAUUGAACCGCAUGGUUCAAUAGUGAAAGACGGUUUUGCUGUCACUUAUAGAUGGAUCCGCGCCGCAUUAGCUAGUUGGUAAGGUAACGGCUUACCAAGGCAACGAUGCGUAGCCGACGUGAGAGAGUGAUCGGCCACACUGGAACUGAGACACGGUCCAGACUCCUGCGGGAGGCAGCAGUAGGGAAUGUUCCGCAAUGGGCGAAAGCCUGACGGAGCAACGCCGCGUGAGUGAUGAAGGUCUUCGGAUCGUAAAGCUCUGUUAUGAGGGAAGAACAAAUGUGGAAGCAACUAUGCACGUAUUGACGGUACCUAAUCAGAAAGCAACGGCUAACUACGUG